UACGUAGGGGGCAAGCGUUGUCCGGAUUUAUUGGGCGUAAAGAGCGUGUAGGCGGCCAGACAGGUCCGUUGUGAAAACUCGAGGCUCAACCUCGAGAUGUCGAUGGAAACCGUCUGGCUAGAGUCCGGAAGAGGGAGUGUGGAAUUCCUGGGUGAGCGGUGAAAUGCGCAGAUAUCAAGGAAGAACACCUAUGGCGAAGGCAGCACUCUGGGACGGUACUGACGCUGAGACGCGAAAGCGUGGGGAGCGAACAGG
rnacentral:rRNA from 1 species